rnacentral:rRNA from 1 species
CGGCAACAGCUCAAAUUUGAAACCUGGCGCAAGCCCGGAUUGUAAUUUGCAGAGGAUGCUUCUGGGCAGCGGCCGUUCUAAGUUCCUUGGAACAGGACGUCAUAGAGGGUGAGAAUCCCGUAUGUGACCGGCGCGCACCCUUUACGUAGCUCCUUCGACGAGUCGAGUUGUUUGGGAAUGCAGCUCUAAAUGGGUGGUAAAUUCCAUCUAAAGCUAAAUAUUGGCCAGAGACCGAUAGCGCACAAGUAGAGUGAUCGAAAGAUGAAAAGCACUUUGGAAAGAGAGUUAAAAAGCACGUGAAAUUGUUGAAAGGGAAGCGCUUACAACCAGACUCCGCGGCGGUGUUCCGCCGGUCUUCUGACCGGUCUACUCGCCGCCGUGGGGCCAACAUCGUCUGGGGCCGCCGGAUAAGACCGUAGGAAUGUAGCUCAUUGAGUGUUAUAGCCUGCGGUGAUGCGGCGCGUCCCGGGCGAGGUCCGCGCUUCGGCAAGGAUGUUGGCGUAAUGGUUGUCAGCGGCCCGUCUUGAAACACGGACCAAGGAGUCUAACAUCUAUGCGAGUGUUCGGGUGUCAAACCCCUACGCGUAAUGAAAGUGAACGGAGGUGGGAAGCUUCGGCUGCACCAUCGACCGAUCCUGAUGUCCUCGGAUGGAUUUGAGUAAGAGCAUAGCUGUUGGGACCCGAAAGAUGGUGAACUAUGCCUGAAUAGGGUGAAGCCAGAGGAAACUCUGG